rnacentral:rRNA from 1 species
UACGUAGGUGGCAAGCGUUACUCGGAAUCACUAGGUGUAAAGCGCAGGUAGGAGGUUGGAUAAGUCUGUUGUGAAAGCUCCCGGCUUAACUGGGAGAGGCCAACGGAAACUAUUCGGCUGGAGUGCGGUAGAGGUAGCUGGAAUUCCCGGUGUAGCGGUGAAAUGUGUAGAGAUCGGGAGGAACACCGGUGGCGAAGGCGGGUCUCUGGGCAAUUCCUGACGCUGAGGAGCGAAAGUGUGGGGAGCGAACAGG